rnacentral:piRNA from 1 species
UGCAUUUGUGGAUCCAUGUUGAGGGCAUC